ensembl:lncRNA
GGGAAUAUGACCCCAAAAUUGCCCCAAAUGACCCCAAAAUGGGACCCCAAUUGAGGAUGGAACCUGCAAUAGGAUCAAGAGGGAACACGACCCCAAAAUGGCCCCAAAACGGCCCCAAAUGACCCCAAAAUGGGGAUGGAACCUGCAAUAGGAUCAAGAGGGAACACGACCCCAAAAUGGCCCCAAAACGGCCCCAAAUCACCCCAAAAUGGGACCCCAAAUGGGACACGGAGCCAUCAGUGGGGUCUGGGGGGAUGCGACCCCAAACGGCCCUAAAUGACCCCAAAAUGGGGCCCCAAUUGAGGAUGGAACCUGCAAUAGGAUCAAGAGGGAACAUGUACCCCAAAACGGCCCCAAAAUGGCCCCAAAUGACCCCAUAAUGGGGUCACAAUUGGACACAGAGCCAUCAGUGGGGUCUGGGGGAAAAGAGACCCCAAAAAGGCCCCAAAUCUGCCCCAAAUGACCCCAAAAUGGGGCCCCAAUUGAGGAUGGAACCUGCAAUAGGAUCAAGAGGGAACACGACCCCAAAACGGCCCCAAAUGACCCCAAAAUGGAGCCGCAAUUGGGGUGGAACCCCCAAUGGGAUCCCUCAGUGGGGUCUGGGUGGAUGCGACCCCAAAACGGCCCCAUAAUGGCCCCAAAAUGACCCCGAAAUGGGACCAGCUGCAGCUGGUACGCCAUGGGGUGGAUCUUGAACCCAUACAGCCUGUGGGGGAAAAGAGGCGUCAGAAACCCCAAAACGGCCCCAAAUCACCCCAAAAUGGGGUCACAAUGGGGGUGGAGACCUCAAUGGGGUCUGGGGGAAAAGAGACCCCAAAACGACGCAAAAAGACCCCAAAAAUGGGGCCCAAGUGAGGAUGGAACCUGCAAUAGGAUCA